rnacentral:rRNA from 1 species
CAAUAGCGUAUAUUUAAGUUGUUGCAGUUAAAAAGCUCGUAGUUGGAUUUCGGGUGGGACGCAGCGGUCUCGCAUUGCGUUUGUACUGCUGCAGCCCUCCUUCUUGCCGGGGGCGGCCUCUCGGACUUCACUGUCUGGGGGUCAGAAUCGGCGAUGUUACUUUGAGUAAAUUAGAGUGUUCAAAGCAAGCUUACGCUCUGAAUAUAAUAGCAUGGGAUAACACGACAGGACUCUGGCCUAUCGUGUUGGUCUAUAGGACCAGAGUAAUGAUUAAGGGGGACAGUCGGGGGCAUUCGUAUUCCGUUGUCAGAGGUGAAAUUCUUGGAUUUACGGAAGACGAACAUCUGCGAAAGCAUUUGCCAAGGAUGUUUNCAUUGA